rnacentral:hammerhead_ribozyme from 1 species
GUCCAGCUGAUGAGUCUCAAAUAGGACGAAACGUGCGUCAAACUAGAU